GAUGCUAAGUUGAAAUUUAAUUCUGCAUAGAGAACUUUACAUGGGAUUCAUUUAAUAUUACCUUGUGUUGAAUCCCUCAUCCCUGUUCCUUCUCUGUUUGUCUUUUUCCAAAAUUCACUGCUAUCCCCCAACCAAGAGGAGUCAGAGCUGAGCUGGGCACUAAGAAGGGUGCUUCCUGACUCCAGUUGCAGCCCUGGGGGUAGCUGUGGGCAAGUGCAGGGCUUCCAGAGGUCCAAGGGUUGGGAGGAGCUGUCCAGAAGCAUCUGGGUACAAGAGGAAGCCCUUCAUCUAGCUGCUUCAGCACCCCUGCAAGGACCAUGCAACCCUUUCCUGGGACCCUGAGUGCUUCUCCAGCAAGACCCCAUAGAACCCUCUGUCAUCUUCCAUGUCUCUACUGCCUGGUUCUGACCCUCUUCACUUUGCCCACCACCCCUGCCCCCCGUGGCCCUCCUUCCCAACACCCAUCCUGCUCUGCCCUCAGUCUGGUUUCUCUCACACCCCUGGGGACAGACUCUGUUCGUGGGGCUGACUGCUCUAGUUGUAGCCUUUUGUUUCAUUCCAGAUGUCCUUGUCACCUUCGAAGUUAAUAUUUUUCCCCUGGAUGGAAAGAUGAGGGUCCAGGGGGAUAAUCAGGGAGUGGCAACCCGGCCAAGCUAGGACUUCAGGAGUCCUAGGGAAGAGGUGGCAGCUCGACCUCUGCUUUCCCCCUUACGGCCGGGGAGAAAACAAGUCAAGGAGGAGAUUCAAAACCAGCGAGCAGGAGAAACCAUUGAAAGAACCGGGAGCUCAUUAUCCUGGAGAAAACAAGGCCUGAGCGCUCUACUUGGGUUGAAAUGACCUCUUGAGCAACAGGACAUGUCAGGAGUGGCAAGGAGUCAGGCUUCAAAUUCUAGCUGUGUGAUCUCAAGCAAGUCAAACAACCUCCCUGAGCCUCAGCAUGAUUACCUGCAGGUUGGUGGCAGGUAUUCUCACAUGGGCCCUCCCUAAAAGCUUCCUCUUCACCUCUCAUACUGCACUAUGAGGCUCCCCAAACCAGAGGUUGUUUGGUCCUGCCCAACAUCUUCUUGCUAAAAUAAAGGUGUCAGCCUCCUC